ensembl:misc_RNA Metazoa_SRP Metazoan signal recognition particle RNA
GCCGGGCAUGGUGGUGCGUGCCUGUAGUCCCAGCUACUGGGGAGGCUGAGGUGGGAGAAUCACCUGAGCCCAGGAGGUAUAGGAUGCAGUGAGUCGUAAUCAUGCCAUUGCAAUCCAGCCUGGACAACAGAGCGAGACCCUACCUCAA